GGGACACGUGGUAUCCUGUCUGAAUAUGGGGGGACCAUCCUCCAAGGCUAAAUACUCCUGACUGACCGAUAGUGAACCAGUACCGUGAGGGAAAGGCGAAAAGAACCCCGGCGAGGGGAGUGAAAAAGAACCUGAAACCGUGUACGUACAAGCAGUGGGAGCACGCUUAGGCGUGUGACUGCGUACCUUUUGUAUAAUGGGUCAGCGACUUAUAUUCUGUAGCAAGGUUAACCGAAUAGGGGAGCCGAAGGGAAACCGAGUCUUAACUGGGCGUUAAGUUGCAGGGUAUAGACCCGAAACCCGGUGAUCUAGCCAUGGGCAGGUUGAAGGUUGGGUAACACUAACUGGAGGACCGAACCGACUAAUGUUGAAAAAUUAGCGGAUGACUUGUGGCUGGGGGUGAAAGGCCAAUCAAACCGGGAGAUAGCUGGUUCUCCCCGAAAGCUAUUUAGGUAGCGCCUCGUGAAUUCAUCUCCGGGGGUAGAGCACUGUUUCGGCAAGGGGGUCAUCCCGACUUACCAACCCGAUGCAAACUGCGAAUACCGGAGAAUGUUAUCACGGGAGACACACGGCGGGUGCUAACGUCCGUCGUGAAGAGGGAAACAACCCAGACCGCCAGCUAAGGUCCCAAAGUCAUGGUUAAGUGGGAAACGAUGUGGGAAGGCCCAGACAGCCAGGAUGUUGGCUUAGAAGCAGCCAUCAUUUAAAGAAAGCGUAAUAGCUCACUGGUCGAGUCGGCCUGCGCGGAAGAUGUAACGGGGCUAAACCAUGCACCGAAGCUGCGGCAGCGACACUAUGUGUUGUUGGGUAGGGGAGCGUUCUGUAAGCCUGUGAAGGUGUGCUGUGAGGCAUGCUGGAGGUAUCAGAAGUGCGAA
rnacentral:rRNA from 1 species